rnacentral:tRNA from 1 species
GCCCGGGUGGUGAAACAGGUAGACGCAGGGGACUCAAAAUCCCGCCGCAAGGCGUGUCGGUUCGAGUCCGACCCCGGGCACCA